rnacentral:rRNA from 1 species
GUUAACCGUAUAGGGGAGCCGAAGGGAAACCGAGUCUUAACCGGGCGUUAAGUUGCAGGGUAUAGACCCGAAACCCGGUGAUCUAGCCAUGGGCAGGUUGAAGGUUGGGUAACACUAACUGGAGGACCGAACCGACUAAUGUUGAAAAAUUAGCGGAUGACCUGUGGCUGGGGGUGAAAGGCCAAUCAAACCGGGAGAUAGCUGGUUCUCCCCGAAAGCUAUUUAGGUAGCGCCUCGUGAACUCAUCUCCGGGGGUAGAGCACUGUUUCGGCUAGGGGGCCAUCCCGGCUUACCAACCCGAUGCAAACUGCGAAUACCGGAGAAUGUUAUCACGGGAGACACACGGCGGGUGCUAACGUCCGUCGUGAAGAGGGAAACAACCCAGACCGCCAGCUAAGGUCCCAAAGUCAUGGUUAAGUGGGAAACGAUGUGGGAAGGCCCAGACAGCCAGGAUGUUGGCUUAGAAGCAGCCAUCAUUUAAAGAAAGCGUAAUAGCUCACUGGUCGAGUCGGCCUGCGCGGAAGAUGUAACGGGGCUAAACCAUG